rnacentral:lncRNA from 1 species
ACCCUACUGGAAUACUACACUAUGAGUUGCUUGACAGCAGCUUAUUCAUAUUAUCUUCAACUCCUAUCUCAGGAGUCUUGUAUAAGACGCUUAGGCACUCACCAAAUUCUUAUUGAAUGAAUGAGUGAGUCAAUGAACAAAAGAACGAAAACAGAUGGAAUGACAUAUAUGAAAGUACUUUAUAAAUUGUGAAUUGCUGUGUGGGAGUUAGUUAUUAUUGGCCUGAUCUAUAAUUUUCACAAUUUUGCAUAAAAAUUCUUUUAGAAGAUAGAGGUAACUUUCUAGAGAGAAAACUUCAAAGUUUAGGUUGAAAGAGAGAGUAAAUGACAUGGUUAUGUCUACAUUUGAAAAUAAUUUGAGGAAGAUAAAAAUACUUGAAUGUGAAUUGUUAGGCUAUGUAGAACUGCCUUUUAACCUUUUAAAAAUAGAUAAUACAUGAACACAAUAUAAAAAUUCAAAAGGUAAAAUAGGAGAUUCAUUGCCCAAUCUCCUAGUUUCUUUCACUUACGUUACCAGAAUAUUCAGAUACGUUCUAUGUUUUUAUAGACGAAUAUGUAUACAAGAAGCUGCCUUUCAAAAGAGAAAAAGAGAAAGGACUGUUUUCAGCUAGUACGUGGUCGAUGAGUAUAAAAUAAAAUGAUAUGAGAAAUAAAAACUUAGUUCUCCAAUUUUCAUUUACUUGGGAGUUGUUUUCCCAUUCAAGGGAUUAUUGUAAUAAGCUUUGUUUUAAGGUUUUAUUGUUUAGCAACAUUGUGAAAACAUCUCUAUGUCUUCUGUUCCUCAUUCUUUUUUAAAUACAAGAUUUUAUUUCUUCAAAUCCUAUCCUUGCUUUUUGACUACACUCAUAAACUGAGCACUACACACAGCUACUCUGGUACUUACCCAUUGGGAGAAGGAACCAAGCUUCCCCUCACCUCAUUCCCAGCCAGCACAUGAAGGGUAAAGAUGAAAGCUGUUUGUGUUUGCUGAAAACAGAGAACCCCAGAUACAAGCACCAUGAUUUGGUAAUUUCCUCCCUCAUCUUCUAAGGGCAGUCCUUGCAAGGUCUUGGUGGGAGAAUGAUAUUCCAGCCAUCUUGGCAGUUUGACAUCAUGAACUAGGGUAACCUGUUCAGGUAUACACGAAACAUAAAGUCUGAACUUGCCUUUAGGAAGAGGUUUGAAACUUGCUUGCUCUGUCUCUGUGGCAGCGCAUUAAUACUAAGAGUUAGCCA